rnacentral:rRNA from 1 species
UGGAGGGGUCGAUUCUGGCUCAGGAUGAACGCUGGCGGCGUGCUUAACACAUGCAAGUCGAACGGGAUCCAUCAGGCUUUGCUUGGUGGUGAGAGUGGCGAACGGGUGAGUAAUGCGUGACCGACCUGCCCCAUACACCGGAAUAGCUCCUGGAAACGGGUGGUAAUGCCGGAUGCUCCGACUCCUCGCAUGGGGUGUCGGGAAAGAUUUCAUCGGUAUGGGAUGGGGUCGCGUCCUAUCAGGUAGUCGGCGGGGUAACGGCCCACCGAGCCUACGACGGGUAGCCGGCCUGAGAGGGCGACCGGCCACAUUGGGACUGAGAUACGGCCCAGACUCCUACGGGAGGCAGCAGUGGGGAAUAUUGCACAAUGGGCGCAAGCCUGAUGCAGCGACGCCGCGUGCGGGAUGACGGCCUUCGGGUUGUAAACCGCUUUUGAUCGGGAGCAAGCCUUCGGGUGAGUGUACCUUUCGAAUAAGCACCGGCUAACUACGUGCCAGCAGCCGCGGUAAUACGUAGGGUGCAAGCGUUAUCCGGAAUUAUUGGGCGUAAAGGGCUCGUAGGCGGUUCGUCGCGUCCGGUGUGAAAGUCCAUCGCUUAACGGUGGAUCUGCGCCGGGUACGGGCGGGCUGGAGUGCGGUAGGGGAGACUGGAAUUCCCGGUGUAACGGUGGAAUGUGUAGAUAUCGGGAAGAACACCAAUGGCGAAGGCAGGUCUCUGGGCCGUUACUGACGCUGAGGAGCGAAAGCGUGGGGAGCGAACAGGAUUAGAUACCCUGGUAGUCCACGCCGUAAACGGUGGAUGCUGGAUGUGGGGCCCGUUCCACGGGUUCCGUGUCGGAGCUAACGCGUUAAGCAUCCCGCCUGGGGAGUACGGCCGCAAGGCUAAAACUCAAAGAAAUUGACGGGGGCCCGCACAAGCGGCGGAGCAUGCGGAUUAAUUCGAUGCAACGCGAAGAACCUUACCUGGGCUUGACAUGUUCCCGACAGCCGUAGAGAUAUGGCCUCCCUUCGGGGCGGGUUCACAGGUGGUGCAUGGUCGUCGUCAGCUCGUGUCGUGAGAUGUUGGGUUAAGUCCCGCAACGAGCGCAACCCUCGCCCUGUGUUGCCAGCACGUCAUGGUGGGAACUCACGGGGGACCGCCGGGGUCAACUCGGAGGAAGGUGGGGAUGACGUCAGAUCAUCAUGCCCCUUACGUCCAGGGCUUCACGCAUGCUACAAUGGCCGGUACAACGGGAUGCGACACGGCGACGUGGAGCGGAUCCCUGAAAACCGGUCUCAGUUCGGAUUGGAGUCUGCAACCCGACUCCAUGAAGGCGGAGUCGCUAGUAAUCGCGGAUCAGCAACGCCGCGGUGAAUGCGUUCCCGGGCCUUGUACACACCGCCCGUCAAGUCAUGAAAGUGGGUAGCACCCGAAGCCGGUGGCCUAACCCUUUGUGGAUGGAGCCGUCUAAGGUGAGACUCGUGAUUGGGACUAAGUCGUAACAAGGUAGCCGUACCGGAAGGUGCGGCUGGAUCACCUCCUUU